rnacentral:lncRNA from 1 species
GUGGGGACACACAGGAAGUUGUCAUCCUCUGUUUGUGCUCGGUCCAGUCUCAUUUCUGGCAAUAACACGCGCGUUGUUUUUAUAACGCAAGUGAAUUUAAUGCCCAAGGAGCAAGAAGUUUCCAAAAUAUUUUGAGCUUUUUUGAGCGACAGUCCGUCAAAUAACGAGUUAUUGAGGCAACAUGACGAGUAGGAAAGGAUACUACGCUAACAGGGAUGCUUCGAAAGUGUAUCAAAGUGUAUCUAUUAUAUUGUUUUCCUCGAUGGAGAGCGCAUCCAUUUCUGCGUCUGCCCAUGAAUGGCCAUGAUAUACCUGCAUCCUCAAGCUUCUACCAAAGGUUGUCAAGAAACGAAUCCAAGGAUUGGAGAUUGCUCCCAACAUAGCUGCAAUGUUGAUCCUUCAGAGAAAUCACUUGUUUUAAAGCCCAUCAAUCGAGGUUUUAAUGACUAUAAAAUUUUCUAUAUUACACUAUUUCACUAUCGUUAAUAUAUACGAACGGUUUAUCUAUUUUAUUUACAAACUGAAACCCAUAAUAUAAUUAUAAAGGCCUAAAGAUAUGAUACUCGUGAGUAGUGAGUUGUCGAUGAAAAAAUAAUGAACAAUUUGGACUUUUGGAUGACUGUUUAUAUAGACGUGUUAUUGUCACUUGUCAGAGUGAUAAUCUACUUGGCUGUAGCAGUGCGUUAAUUACUGUCUUUGACUGUCUGCUCAUGGACAACUUGUAAAGUUACUAAGUAGAUUUUAAUUUGAUCAAAACACUUAACAGUUUAAAUGCCUUUUAGUUGCUCUGAAGUUACAGUACUUGACCUAAUGGGGUGUUUAUAUGGAGGCAAGCCAGCUCGGGUGCCUGAGCUAGCUUACUUGGCCGAGAUCUAAUGUUGCUAGAUAAUUUAUACUAAUAUUCGUAUUGUGUGUAUAUGAGAACCAGGCUGGCUUGCCUAAGCGAGAUCUUGUUUAAUGACAGAGCCCCAGAUCAGAGCCCGACAGAGCCCCCAGAUCUCGCCUACGUUGGCUGGUUUGCCUAAGCCGCUGAAUACGAAUAUAUUGCCAAUUACUAAUUGUAGUAAAUAAGACUUUCUCAACAGAUUUUUAAUCUAUAGUUUUAAAAAUUAAUACCUCUGUGAACAGUUGUGACGGUCAUAACCAUGACAGUUUCUUGCAAUGAUUUGUUUUGGUGCCAGCCUGCUACAUGAUGAAAUUAGCAAAGCCACCUAUCUCAGGUAACCGGGCUGGCUUGCCUCCAUAUAAACACCCCUAAGACAUUUAGUUUAUAAAAGAUUUUGAUCACAAAUACUUAUAUGAUGUAAACAAACUCAACUAAUAAUUACUAGUAUAUUUUCCACCCGAAUUGUAAGUAAAGCUUGCAUAUAAGAACCUACUGUAUAUGAGGGCCUGUCAGGCUAAUUUUUCAGUAUUUAGACACCCAAUCUGUUUAGGCUAGUAUUUCAGGUUCUUAUUUUAUCACAUGGAGACCAGUCAGAUCUAAAAAUGUAUAAAAAUCAAAGAGAAUAAACUCUUCACAAAGUAAUGAAAAUGAUCCAGAACCCUGAAAAUGUCAUUGAGAUAAAUAAAGUCUAAAUUUACAGUGCAUACAGCUUUGUAUAUAAGUGCAUAUAUACUGGCAUUUUUAGAUGAUCAUGACUGAUAUAGUUACUAUACAAUUGUCUUGUCCAAAAGUGGGGUCUGGGGGUUUGAAAUCAGAGCUUUCUUUCUCCUAGAUGGUUGCCAGCCAAGGCUUAUGAGCUCCAUCUACACAAAGCAAUCUGGUUUUAAGGUGCCAGACACUUGCCAGUUCAUAUUGUACUAUAAUUGCCUGAUUUUGUGUCACAAAGAGUGGCACCAUCCCGUUAUCUAUGUUGCCAGAACAGGGUGCCGUGCAUGGUCUGUUUUGGGACAAAAUUAGACAACACAGUAAAACCCUGCGAAUAAUAACCUAGAUUUUUUCCAAGUUAGCCUAAACAGGUUCUUAUGUAAAUGUACUUA